AGUGAACGCUGGCGGCAGGCCUAACACAUGCAAGUCGAACGGCAGCACAGGAAAGCUUGCUCUCUGGGUGGCGAGUGGCGGACGGGUGAGGAAUACAUCGGAAUCUGCCUAUUUGUGGGGGAUAACCUCGGGAAACCGGGACUAAUACCGCAUACGACCUACGGGUGAAAGCAGGGGACCUUCGGGCCUUGCGCAGAUAGAUGAGCCGAUGUCGGAUUAGCUAGUUGGAGUGGUAAUGGCCCACCAAGGCGACGAUCCGUAGCUGGUCUGAGAGGAUGAUCAGCCACACUGGGACGGAGACACGGACCAGACUCCUACGGGAGGCAGCAGUGGGGAAUAUUGGACAAUGGGCGAAAGCCUGAUCCAGCCAUGCCGCGUGAGUGAAGAAGGCCCUCGGGUUGUAAAGCUCUUUUGUUGGGAAAGAAAAGCAAUCGGUUAAUACCCGGUUGUUCUGACGGUACCCAAAGAAUAAGCACCGGCUAACUUCGUGCCAGCCGCCGCGGUAACAC
rnacentral:rRNA from 1 species